rnacentral:misc_RNA from 1 species
AGGUGCAGGAGCUGGUUUUGAGGCAUGAGAGUAGAUACCAUAAAUUUUAUAAAAUGAUAUAUUUAUUUUUUUAAUAUAUACUUAAUAUUUCAUAAAUAUUAAAAAGAGAAUUAUACAUGUAUGCAUUAUAUUACUUGAAUAUUUUUAUAUAAAACUUAAGAACGCUAUCAAAAUUUAUUAAAUAUAACUUAAUAAAUGUUAAAAUUUA